CCAUUAACCGCACAUUUCUCUUCUUUCUGGUUAAGUUUAUUCUUCGAUAGGCUUCAGAACUUAUCAUCAUCAUCUUUUUAUUUAGUCUCUCUUGUUCUCUGAAAACAUUUAUCGAAGGAUCAAUUAAACUUAACAAUCAUCUUCUUUCUCAAUUUCUUCUGAUACCUCAUCUCUAUCUUCUAAUUCUCAUCUUAAUUCUGCUAUUUCUUUGAUAAGUCUAUUUCGUGCUUAUCAAGAUUCAUGUUUUGGAUACAGUACUUCAUCCACAAAUAAAAGGAACGCUGAUAAAUCUGGUUUUAUGGUUCCGAGUCACUAGAGAGGGUCUGGAUUUAUUGGGACUACUAAUAACUUGGAAAGGAUUGGUGGGAAUGGAACGGUGAGGCUGAAUCAAAGGAUUUAAUUUGUUGGGGGCUUGGAGCUUGGUAAC